rnacentral:rRNA from 1 species
UACGUAGGGCGCAAGCGUUGUCCGGAAUUAUUGGGCGUAAAGGAGCUCGUAGGCGGCUUGUCACGUCGGAUGUGAAAGCCCGAGGCUUAACCUCGGGUCUGCAUUCGAUACGGGCUAGCUAGAGUGUGGUAGGGGAGAUCGGAAUUCCUGGUGUAGCGGUGAAAUGCGCAGAUAUCAGAGGAACACCGGUGGCGAAGGCGGAUCUCUGGGCCAUUACUGACGCUGAGGAGCGAAAGCGUGGGGAGCGAACAGGAUUAGAACCGUC